UGGGAGAAAAAUCACAAGAAAAGAAAGCUCAAAAACAAUUCAAAAAUUACACUAACUCAAGCAAGCAAAGGGCCAUCAAACUUUCACUAGGAGCCAAGAUGGCCACAAUUAAUGUGCUAAAGGUAGUGUUCCAUGGCAAUAUCGAAGUUCAAGCUUUUAAAGUGGAGUUGAUUGUGCUGGUGCAGGCUCAAUUCAUUAUGUUUUAUGGAGUAAAGCUUGGUUACUUGAUUACUUCACAAUGUGCUCACUCUCAUGAAUGGGCACAAUUCAAUCUUUAUGUUUGGAUUUGAUAAUUAAGUUUAUUUGUAAUCUGUGGGCCAUUAACUUUUGAACAUGUUUAAAUCUCAAAUUUGUUAGUGAAAUUGAGGAUAUUUUG